rnacentral:rRNA from 1 species
AUGGCGGCGCCCCUCCCGUCGGACCGUCCGCGCCGUCACUCCUGGCCCAACCUCCUGGUUCCGCAUCCUAUAGGGAAGGCCAAGGAAAACUGCGCCGAGGAGGGCAUCGGCGGCGCCCUUCCGCGCUCGGUCCCUGACCUGAAGCGGCUGGCCGCGGGGAGGACCGCAACGCAGCGUAGUAUUGCCGAGUUCCUGCAUAUGCCCAAGCACCACUUAACUGAUUUGGGAGGUAGCAAAAUGGCUCUAGCAUGGGUGGAAGAUUGUGUGAACUGGUUGAGUUCCAAAGUGUUCCGGAUAGUGCCGCUUCUCAGCUUACUCAUGUAUCUUAUCCUCGCCGUCUUCUCCGACAGCCGACGGCGUGAAGACAGAGGUUGGAAGAGAGGGUUAUUGUGGUUGGCAUACCAGUUGACCGAGUGGGGGCCGGCAUAUGUCAUCGGCAACCUGUACCUUGAAACCAAACCGUGCGACAAGAUGAUCAUCGCCUUCUGGGUGCCGUUCCUAUUGCUGCACAACGCCCGCCCGGACAACAUCAGCGCCUACACCAUCGAGGACAAUGAUCUCUGGCUGCGCGUGAUCGUGUUUGUUCCCUUGCAGUCCCUGGGAUCCAUUCUUAUUGUGCACAGGUAUAUACUCUCCAACUGCAAUCCUGGGUUGUUGCGUCAGGCGACCUUCAUCAUGUUACCGCUGGGCCUUUUCAAGUAUAUUGAGAGUGGGGUGGCGCUAUGGCUAUGCGGCAUGAGCCGCAUUCGAAGGUCAUUUAGGAAGCAGCAACCACUUGUCAGUAUCUUCAGAAAUGAUGAUGGGGUCAAGAAUCUGAAAGAUGAGGAAGCCUUGUUGGUUGCUCAUGACCUGUUCGAGAUCUGCAAGGGGGCCUUCUGUGAUUAUACGGGGAAAAUGGAUCAUAAUGCCGCCGUCAGAAGCAGCUUCUCGGGUCAAUGGCAGAAUAUGUGCAAGGUGGUGGAGAUGGAACUCUCUCUCAUGUAUGACAUCUUCUACACCAAGGCAGCCGUGGUCCACACCUGGCCUGGCUACCUCAUCCGUCUGGCCUCGCCGCUCCUCACCGCCACCGCGCUUCUGCUGUUUGGCCUCCAAUGCAAAGAGGGCAUGAAGACAGAAGAUGAAGUUAUUAGUUACAUAUUGCUCGGGACGACCUUCCUCCUCGAUGUGAGAUGGCUGCUCAGAGCACUAGCAUCAUCCUGGACACAUUCAUACUUCAAACUUAUGCAACACAAUUGGUUGAAGCAUGAAUUUUGGUGCCGUGGAGGAUGGAAGAAGCUCCGUCACAUUGUCCUCUCUCUGCGUCUUUCCAGGCUCUCCUUGUGCUUGUGGACAUGUGUAUGGGCCAACGAGCGCAAAAGCUACAGGAGAUGGGCGGGCAAGUUCGGGCAGCACAACUUGUUGGACCAUUGCACUGUUGGAAGAAACAGGUACAAGCACAGGCACAAUCUGUACGGCCACUUGAGGUCGAGUGGCCGUGAGAUUCCAAACAAUACCAAGAAGCUGGUGUUCCGUAACAUAUGCGAGCAUUUGUUCCCUGAUCGCGUGGCGCACCCCGAGCAGUCCAGCGUCACCGUCGGGAAAGAUCGCGGGGGCCAGUCAGUCUAUCCUCCUGAGCUUCAAGAGGCUAUACUCAUCUGGCACAUCGCCACGGAUGUGUUCCUCUUGUGCAGCCCCAGCUGGAUGACAGGAACAGAGGAUCUUGCGACGGCGAUCAAGCAGAUGUCAAAUUACAUGAUGUUCCUCGUCACCAAACGCACCAAAAUGCUACCAGGACUUAUAGUCCGCGACCUGUACAAAAAGACUCUGGAUAAGCUGGAGAAGAUACGGGUUAAGGCGGCCACCGAGGGAUGUGCAACAAACGAGGAGCUUGCCAAAUGGAUGACCAAAGAAAAAUCGGAUUUUCUGAAGCACUCAGAUACCAGUGACACCAUCUGGGAUGGAACUCAACUUGCCCGUGUGCUGCUAAGGCGAGUCCUUGGGGAUAGACAAGAUGAAGUGAGCGUAGCAACUUUGGAAGAAGUCAAAGGUACGGCAGAAAGACUUGCAUACUGGCUUCCAGAUUUCAGUAAUCUUACUAUUGGGGAUAUGGAAGGCGUGCUGCUGUUCAUCCUGAAUGCGUGGGUGCGUGUGCUCGUGUUUGCGUCCAUCCGGUGCAGCAGGGAUGCUCAUGCCAGGCAGCUCAGCUGUGGCGGCGAACUAACGACCCUCGUGUGGAUCAUCACGCAACACGCAGAGUUGUUUUCUGGUUUGGCGGUUGCACUCAUGUACCUCUGGUUUGGACUCACGUAUCUUCGGAAUUUGGAUCGGUAG